AAGAUAAAUGAUGUUUGCUCAUCUCUCUAUCAUGACAGUCCUUGUUAAGAUGCAACAAUGCCUGGUGCGUGUGUAGGUUGCAUUGUUUCUCUAUAGGGGUGCAUAUCAGGAUGAGCUUCCCCGGUCCUUCUUUCUCCUCCGCUCAUGAUCUCUUUCUCUCCCUCCCCUACCCAUCUAUGCAAGAUUUGUGUAGCCUAAAUGCCUCUAUAUGAUGUAUGUAUUCUUAGAUGUACUUUGUUCUAUUGUGAAUCUUGUGGUCAUAGACCUUUCUGAAUCCGACACUUUCAAUCGGGCCACAGAGAGGAAGCGAGGUGGAGAUGAGAUGGGGACAGACGAUCCUGCAGCGAUAUUGUUUCUUUGUUCUCCUGCUCCAGGAUGUCAUAAUAUCGGAAGUUGUGUUUGAGCUUCGCUGCUGACCAUAGAUUUCUUUGUCAACCAGUCAACACUUCAAGAUCCAGGUUCUUACUGCGCUUGGGAGUUCGGGGUACCUUGUCUCUUCCGAUCGUCUUGUCGGCUGCUUUCCCUACUGAGGCCCUCUUGUUGCUGCCUUCACUUGCUUUGUCGUCUACUGCUCUGUUAGCUCGCCGGUUCCCUAUCAUGCUGUGAAGGGAGGGGGAAUACUACGAUUCCACACUGUUUCCGAGGCAAAAUCCAGAGCAAUUUUGUGUCGAGGAAGUUUCAGAUUUAUACGAUGAAUUAUGUGCUCUUUAGUAGGGUUAAAGUUUCCACAAGGCUUACCUACCAAAG